GCGUAUAGAAUUGUGUGGCACCAAAUCAAAUGGUAAUUUUCCUCUUCACUCUGAUCAUCAGAUGUUUGAGAUGCUGGUCAAAUCUGGAGAUAACGUCCUCCUCGACGCUCCCACAUACUCAGGAACGCUGGCAGCUUCCCAUCAUCACCAUGUUUUACCUGCGAUCUCGCUCUCUCUCGACCCAUUACACGUAAACAUUACCAACUCUUUCAUCAACAGCUGCAGCCGCUGGGCUGUAACCUCAUUAACGUGAUCAUCACUGCAUGAUCCCUGCAGACCUGAGGAAGCUCCUGGAGCGCUGGGUCCCAGCAGCGUCCCGAGAGUCCUGUACACCAUCCCGAACGAAGGUAACCCCACCGGAGCGUGCAUGACCUGUGAGAGGAAACAGGACGUCUAUGAGCUUACUAGAAAAUAUGAUUUGCUUAUCACUGAGGACGACCCGUAUUAUUUCCUACAGUUCCAGAAAGUAAGCAGCUCUGAGUUUAUCUGUUUGUAUUGUGUGAUAGAUUAGCCUGCAGCGGUAGUCAUACACUGACCUCUCUGAUAGCCUCUCUAUUGCUGCUGUGAUAAGAUAACACUCAGUAAUAAAAGAAAUCAAGUCAAUCCUCUGCUCUCUUCUUUUGUUGCUCUGCUGUCAUCCAGCCGUGGGCUCUUCCAACGUUUCUGUCCAUGGAUGUCGACGGGUGCGUCCUGCGAAUGGAUUCCUUCUCUAAGAUCCUGUCUUCGGGGCCUCCACGAUGCACACCAGCACCUUCACACAGGUCAGACUCUUACCUUCCUGCAUCAUCAUCAUCGUCACUCACAUUCACCGCCCUGCUUCUCUCCUGAAUCAGCAGCGCAGCAGCUUCAGUCUGUGAUCCCUAAAUGACAGACCUUGUGUUCUGCCUUCAGAGAUGUGUCUCUGAGAGCAGGAGUGGAUUCAGGAGAGGAGGAGCUCAUGGUUUCUCAGCUGCUUCAUAGCUGGGGUCCAGAAGGGUUUCUCAAGCACACUGAAGAGGUGAUCUCAGAGGAACGCCAUGCUCUCCUCCGCAGACAAAUGGCUCAUAGCUGAAUGGCAUCCUCCCAUGGCCAGCGUGUUCCUGUGGAUUAAACUCAAGGGCAUUAAAGACACACAGCUGCUGAUAAUGGAGAGAGCGUUAGAGAAAGAGUUUGUAGGUUCUUCUGGUUCCUGGAGGAGUUUUCAACAUCAGCAGCUCAGAUCCAUGUCCGUAUGUUAGAGCCGCCUUUUCCCUCUCCACACCUCAACAGAUCGAUGAGGCUUUCAGGAGACUGAUGAGGCUGAUCUUAUGAAGGAUGAUUUCCAGGAAGAGGAAUCAAGGGUCUGAUAUUUUUAGUUUUAUGGGAACUGGUUUAGUGUGUAAAAUAUUUAACCAUAAGAAGGUCAAAGUCAAGUGGAUGUAUUUUAUUGCAAUAGUCCCUUAUUUUAAAUCUUCAUGGUGAAUUGUGAAGGUUAAAGCUGUGGAUUUCUGUGUCUUCCUUAAUGGACAGUGACCUGUAAUAUGACAAGUUAGCUGCUAUUAACUUGAGCUGUUUUGAACACAAAUGAGUAGUAAAUGUACUGGUAUGUUGCACGUAGAAGCUUUUAAAAUGGCAUUAGACUAAUGAACUCUCAUCACAGAAUGUAAUGACUCAUUUCUGCAAUAACUUGAAUCCAGCUCUGUUUUUUCAUAUUUUGUAAAGUCAUGGGAAUGCAAUAUUGGAUUUUCUUCAGCUGCUUUUGGAGUAAAUAGUAAUGAAAAAAUUAUAUUUGCAAUUGUCUCCCAUAUAGACACCAGAACAUAAUAGCUUACCUUUCUGGAAAUGUAAAAUACGGUCUAUGCUAGUCACCAUUUGACUUACUAACCCAUAUUUUUGUAUGUUGUCCUUUGGACUUGCAUGCAAAAAUCAAUAUUGUA